AUUGAACGCUGGCGGCAUGCCUUACACAUGCAAGUCGAACGGUAACAGGUCUUCGGAUGCUGACGAGUGGCGAACGGGUGCGUAAUACAUCGGAACGUGCCCGAUCGUGGGGGAAAACGGAGCGAAAGCUUUGCUAAUACCGCAUACGAUCUACGGAUGAAAGCAGGGGACCGCAAGGCCUUGCGCGGACGGAGCGGCCGAUGGCAGAUUAGGUAGUUGGUGGGAUAAAAGCUUACCAAGCCGACGAUCUGUAGCUGGUCUGAGAGGACGACCAGCCACACUGGGACUGAGACACGGCCCAGACUCCUACGGGAGGCAGCAGUGGGGAAUUUUGGACAAUGGGCGAAAGCCUGAUCCAGCCAUGCCGCGUGCAGGAUGAAGGCCUUCGGGUUGUAAACUGCUUUUGUACGGAACGAAAAGACUCUUUCUAAUAAAGAGGGUCCAUGACGGUACCGUAAGAAUAAGCACCGGCUAACUACGUG
rnacentral:rRNA from 1 species